rnacentral:rRNA from 1 species
CCCCUAGGGAAAGUUGAAAAGAACUUUGAAGAGAGAGUUCAAAAGGGCGUGAAACCGCUUAGAAUAAAACGGACGGAGCCGUCAGGAGCUCUCGAGACUCAGUCGUCUAAUAGGCGAAAAUACUCGCGUUCUCCAGAGCGUAAAGUCUGAGACGUAGUAUUAGUAGUCGAUAGUCGGCGCAUUUUUCGAGGGUAAGCGUCGUAACCGAUACGAAAGGCUAGCGAAGCGACGAGGUUGAGGUCUAGUCUCCUAACGGAAACUAGUUGCCAGCCGAAUUCGCCUGAAUCGUUAGACCGCAGUAUGUAUCGAGCGCCUAUUAAAUAGAGGACGUUCGCCGCGAUGGUUCGUUCGCACGAUGGAAAGUCGAUUAAUUAGUCGGUUUACCUGCAAGCAGGCGCCGUUCUAAUCUAGUCGGUCUUAGAAGUCGUCGACGACGCGACGUCCAGGCGUUAACGGCGUCAGAGUCGGUCACCCGUCCGACCCGUCUUGAAACACGGACCAAGGAGUCUAACAUACGCGCGAGGCAAUAGGUGGAAAACCUAGAGCCGCAAUAAAAGUGAAGACUUAGUUACUAAGUUCGAGGUACGAUCCUAGAAUCUAACGAUAUCUAGGCGCAGUACCGUCUCGUCCCUAAGACACGUUCUAAGGGCGAAGAUAGAGUGCGUACGUUGGGACCCGAAAGAUGGUGAACUAUGCCUGAGCAGAGCGAAGCCAGAGGAAACUCUGGUGGAGGUUCGUAGCGGUUCUGACGUGCAAAUCGAUCGUCAGACUUGGGUAUAGGGGCGAAAGACUAAUCGAACCAUCUAGA